GCGACCCCAGGUCAGGCGGGAUCACCCGCUGAGUUUAAGCAU
rnacentral:rRNA from 2 species